AGCCGGGUUGCUGAGUCACAUGGUGUAUGCAUGUUUAACUUCGUAAGAAUCUGGCAAAGCCUUCUCCAGAGGGGUCAGACCAUUUUAGAUGCCCACCAACAAUGCACAAGGGGCGUGUUGGUUUGUGAGACGGAAUCUGCAAACAGCGGCCAGACGGAGACGACGGAGAGCCCCAACCCACACCCCCUUGGCCACAGCCUGGCCCCAGUGGUCCAGACCUGAUCGAGAGCGAGAGUGCAGAAGGGGGAAUGACAGGGAGAGACAGCGGGAGAAGCAAACUCCUUGCUGAGCAGGAAGCCUGCUGUGGGGCUCAAUCCCAGGACCCUGGGAUCAUGACCUGAACCGAAGGCAAACGCUUAACCGACUGAGCCAACCAGCUCCAGCCCGAUGCUUUCCCAUGUGACGUGUUCCUCCCAUAAAUCAGCCCGGAGAAUAAAGAAUGUGUACAAACA